UGCUCCUGUGAUCCAGCUACCUGGAGACCGGAGUCGGUGAAACGGUGUGAGGGCAGGAGUCCUGCUUUCAGGUGUUCUAUGUUGAGCGGGCGUCCGCACUAAGAUCGGUAUCAAUAUGGGCACACCGAGGGAGCUCAGUGUGACCAGGUUGUCUAAGGAGGGACGUACAGGCCAAGGGCGGAAACGCAGCAGGCAAAAGUCCCCGUGUCGAUCAGUAGUGGGAUCGCGCCUGUGAAUAGGCAUCUGUC
rnacentral:SRP_RNA from 1 species